UUUUGCUAGGGGAGCCCACAGGCUGAGACUGCAUUUAUGAUGAUCCUUCAUAUGGAUCCAAAUGCUAACCCUCACUACUUGAACCGGAUAAUACCGGCGUAAGGAAGCAGUUUUA
rnacentral:ncRNA from 1 species